CGCGGGGUGGAGCAGCCUGGUAGCUCGUCGGGCUCAUAACCCGAAGGUGAAGGUCGUCGGUUCAAAUCCGGCCCCCGCAACCA
rnacentral:tRNA from 1 species